rnacentral:lncRNA from 1 species
GUCCUGCGGAGGAUUCUGGGAAUUGUAGUUCAACCUCGAGAUCCGGCCCCUCCUGCUCUUAGUUGCCAUUGUCACCCAGCUAUCCUGGCUGCCUCCGGGUCGGUCCCGAGUUGGAGGAGGGCUGACCGUGGAGCCUUCUGAGUCUAAGUGCCCCGAAGGAGGGCGGCAGUGGGGCUCGGCGAAGGGCGCGCGUUCCGGGCCUCUCUAUGGACCCGAGCGGUCGGCCCCGGCCCUGGGCGGAGGAGGGAGUCGCGAUGGAUCCUGGAGACAGAGGAUUGCUUGCUGAGGACUCAGACCUUCCCGGUGCUGGAGAUGCAAAAGAAAAUGGCAUGACUGAUGUGCUGCUGACCCCUGGGUCCCAGGUAAGUUUAGAUUUCUUCUUGUUCUUUUUUUUUUUUCUUCAGUUCUUAGCAUGAGUAUGGUUUUUUGCAUUGCUAAGAAACUGUCCCACCUUGAUUCUAAGGCCAUUGGAUUCAUCCUGGUAAAUGAUG